GUUCCUUUGGUGACAUCAAAUAAAAUUGGAAUGGUAUGAGAAGAUUCGCUUGUCCCCUGCGCAAGGAUGACACAAAUUGAGAAAUGGUCCAUUUGUAU